rnacentral:rRNA from 1 species
CCCUUAGAUGUUCUGGGCCGCACGCGCGCUACACUGACGAUGUCAACGAGUCUCUCCUUGGCCGAAAGGUCUGGGUAAUCUUCUGAAACAUCGUCGUGCUGGGGAUAGAUCAUUGCAAUUUUUGAUCUUGAACGAGGAAUUCCUAGUAAGCGCGAGUCAUCAGCUCGCGUUGAUUACGUCCCUGCCCUUUGUACACACCGCCCGUCGCUCCUACCGAUCGAAGAGUUAGGUGAAUUGUUUUGAUCGAUAAGAUUUGACUAUGGUCAACUCUCGUUGUGAAAUUCUGUGAAUCUGACUGUUUAGAGGAAGGAAAAGUCGUAACA